rnacentral:rRNA from 1 species
GACGAACGCUGGCGGCGUGCCUAAUACAUGCAAGUCGAGCGGACGGAUGGGAGCUUGCUCCCAGACCGUCAGCGGCGGACGGGUGAGUAACACGUGGGCAACCUGCCUGUAAGACUGGGAUAACUCCGGGAAACCGGGGCUAAUACCGGAUAACUCUUUCCCUCACAUGAGGGAAAGCUGAAAGAUGGCAUCUCGCUAUCACUUACAGAUGGGCCCGCGGCGCAUUAGCUAGUUGGUGAGGUAACGGCUCACCAAGGCGACGAUGCGUAGCCGACCUGAGAGGGUGAUCGGCCACACUGGGACUGAGACACGGCCCAGACUCCUACGGGAGGCAGCAGUAGGGAAUCUUCCGCAAUGGACGAAAGUCUGACGGAGCAACGCCGCGUGAGUGAUGAAGGUUUUCGGAUCGUAAAACUCUGUUGUCAGGGAAGAACAAGUACCGGAGUAACUGCCGGUACUUUGACGGUACCUGACCAGAAAGCCACGGCUAACUACGUG